rnacentral:rRNA from 1 species
UACAGAGGGUGCAAGCGUUAUUCGGAAUUACUGGGCGUAAAGGGCGCGUAGGUGGUUUGUUAAGUUGGAUGUGAAAUCCCCGGGCUCAACCUGGGAACUGCAUUCAAAACUGACAAGCUAGAGUAUGGUAGAGGGUGGUGGAAUUUCCUGUGUAGCGGUGAAAUGCGUAGAUAUAGGAAGGAACACCAGUGGCGAAGGCGACCACCUGGACUGAUACUGACACUGAGGUGCGAAAGCGUGGGGAGCAAACAGG